rnacentral:rRNA from 1 species
CAAUAGCGUAUAUUAAAGUUGUUGCGGUUAAAAAGCUCGUAGUUGGAUUUCUGUUGGGAACGACCGGUCCGCCCAUUGGGUGUGUAUCUGGCUUGUUCUCGGCAUCUUCUUGGUGAACGUUGCUGCACUUGACUGUGUGGAGCGCUACCCAGGACUUUUACUUUGAGGAAAUUAGAGUGUUUCAAGCAGGCAUAUGCCUUGAAUACAUUAGCAUGGAAUAAUAAGAUAGGACCUCGGUUCUAUUUUGUUGGUUUCUAGAGCUGAGGUAAUGAUUAAUAGGGAUAGUUGGGGGCAUUCGUAUUUAACUGUCAGAGGUGAAAUUCUUGGAUGUGUUAAAGACGGACUACUGCGAAAGCAUUUGCCAAGGAUGUUUUCAUUGA